rnacentral:rRNA from 1 species
GUAGGUGGCAAGCGUUGUCCGGAAUUAUUGGGCGUAAAGCGCGCGCAGGCGGUUCUUUAAGUCUGAUGUGAAAGCCCACGGCUCAACCGUGGAGGGUCAUUGGAAACUGGAGAACUUGAGUACAGAAGAGGAAAGCGGAAUUCCACGUGUAGCGGUGAAAUGCGUAGAGAUGUGGAAGAACACCAGUGGCGAAGGCGGCUUUCUGGUCUGUAACUGACGCUGAGGCGCGAAAGCGUGGGGAGCAAACAGGAUUAGAUACCCUGGUAGUCCACGCCGUAAACGAUGAGUGCUAAGUGUUAGGGGGGUUUUCCGCCCCCCUUAGUGCUGCAGCUAACGCAUUAAGCACUCCGCCUGGGAGUACGGCCGCAAGGCUG